CAUGAAACCGGGGCCUGGUGUGUCUGUGCUCUGGGACACGGGUGGCAAAGGUUCCUCGGCUCUACGCAGACCCGACGGGCCCGGGCACGGAGGCGGAUCGCCCGGGACAAACCGACACAGAGCAUGGGAGACCCCGGCCCUUUCCCCGCGCUGCCGGGAGGGGAGAGUCUGGGCCAUCUGUGUCCCCGUACCCCUGCCCCAACAUCCCACCCACUCCCGUGCCUUUGCUGGCCCUUUGUCCCAGGCUCUGGAAAAGCUGACCGUGAGUUCUGAGGACAGAACCAGGGGUAGUUUUCAUGCAUUCACAUAAAUGCUUAUAGAGUGACAAGAUGCCAGGUGCCUGGCCAAGCUCUACGGAGGUGACAGUGAAAGCAAACAACCGGGUGCCUGCCAUCAGGGAGCUUUCAGUCAGCCUGCUAAAAUUAGUAUGCCUUAUGAAACCCAUCACUCCUAGCCUGUAAAGAGAUCACUGGGGAAUAAAGACACAACUGUGUUCAGC
rnacentral:lncRNA from 10 species